AUUGAACGCUGGCGGCAUGCUUUACACAUGCAAGUCGAACGGUAACAGGCCUUCGGGUGCUGACGAGUGGCAAACGGGUGAGUAAUGCAUCGGAACGUACCCAGAGGUGGGGGAUAACGCAGCGAAAGCUGUGCUAAUACCGCAGGUGAUCUGAGGAUGAAAGCGGGGGACCGAGCAGCAAUGUUUGGCCUCGCGCCUUUGGAGCGGCCGAUGUCGGAUUAGCUAGUUGGUGGGGUAAAGGCCUACCAAGGCGACGAUCCGUAGCUGGUCUGAGAGGACGACCAGCCACACUGGGACUGAGACACGGCCCAGACUCCUCCGGGAGGCAGCAGUGGGGAAUUUUGGACAAUGGGCGCAAGCCUGAUCCAGCAAUGCCGCGUGCGGGAAGAAGGCCUUCGGGUUGUAAACCGCUUUUGGCAGGAACGAAACGGUGUCCGCUAAUACCGGGCGCUAAUGACGGUACCUGCAGAAUAAGCACCGGCUAACUACGUG
rnacentral:rRNA from 1 species